rnacentral:rRNA from 1 species
AUUGAACGCUGGCGGCAGGCCUAACACAUGCAAGUCGAGCGGAUGAAGGGAGCUUGCUCCUGGAUUCAGCGGCGGACGGGUGAGUAAUGCCUAGGAAUCUGCCUGGUAGUGGGGGAUAACGUCCGGAAACGGGCGCUAAUACCGCAUACGUCCUGAGGGAGAAAGUGGGGGAUCUUCGGACCUCACGCUAUCAGAUGAGCCUAGGUCGGAUUAGCUAGUUGGUGGGGUAAAGGCCUACCAAGGCGACGAUCCGUAACUGGUCUGAGAGGAUGAUCAGUCACACUGGAGCGGAGACACGGUCCAGACUCCUACGGGAGGCAGCAGUGGGGAAUGUUGGACAAUGGGCGAAAGCCUGAUCCAGCCAUGCCGCGUGUGUGAAGAAGGUCUUCGGAUUGUAAAGCACUUUAAGUUGGGAGGAAGGGCAGUAAGUUAAUACCUUGCUGUUUUGACGUUACCAACAGAAUAAGCACCGGCUAACUUCGUG